rnacentral:piRNA from 1 species
UUAUACCUGAGCCAGUUUGUUUUGC